ACGAACGCUGGCGGCAUGCCUAACACAUGCCAGUCGAACGAGACCUUCGGGUCUAGUGGCGCACGGGUGCGUAACGCGUGGGAACCUGCCCUUAGGUUCGGAAUAACUCCCCGAAAGGGGUGCUAAUACCGGAUAAUGUCUUCGGACCAAAGAUUUAUCGCCUUUGGAUGGGCCCGCGUUGGAUUAGCUAGUUGGUAGGGUAAAAGCCUACCAAGGCGACGAUCCAUAGCUGGUCUGAGAGGAUGAUCAGCCACACUGGGACUGAGACACGGCCCAGACUCCUACGGGAGGCAGCAGUGGGGAAUAUUGGACAAUGGGCGAAUGCCUGAUCCAGCAAUGCCGCGUGAGUGAUGAAGGCCUUAGGGUUGUAAAGCUCUUUUACCCGGGAUGAUAAUGACAGUACCGGGAGAAUAAGCUCCGGCUAACUCCGUG
rnacentral:rRNA from 1 species